rnacentral:rRNA from 1 species
GUAGGGAAUAUUGCGCAAUGGACGAAAGCCUGACGCAGCCAUGCCGCGUGAAUGAUGAAGGUCUUAGGAUUGUAAAAUUCUUUCACCGGGGACGAUAAUGACGGUACCCGGAGAAGAAGCCCCGGCUAACUUCGUGCCAGCAGCCGCGGUAAUACGAAGGGGGCUAGCGUUGCUCGGAAUUACUGGGCGUAAAGGGCGCGUAGGCGGACAGUUUAGUCAGAGGUGAAAGCCCAGGGCUCAACCUUGGAAUUGCCUUUGAUACUGGCUGUCUUGAGUGCGGGAGAGGUGAGUGGAACUCCGAGUGUAGAGGUGAAAUUCGUAGAUAUUCGGAAGAACACCAGUGGCGAAGGCGACUCACUGGCCCGUUACUGACGCUGAGGCGCGAAAGCGUGGGGAGCAAACAGGAUUAGAAACCCUAGUAGUCC